UUAUGAAAGCAGGUUGCUAACUGUUAUGGGACUGCAGGCAUGCAUAAAUCUGAUUAAUUUUUGAUGAUCUGUUUGGGGUAUGCAUUUCUUCAUUUUCAUUCAAUAAUCAUUACUAACACACACACACAGACACAU